rnacentral:rRNA from 1 species
GUAGCGAAAGCGAGUCUGAAUAGGGCGUUUAGUAUUUGGUCGUAGACCCGAAACCAGGUGAUCUACCCUUGGUCAGGUUGAAGUUCAGGUAACACUGAAUGGAGGACCGAACCGACUUACGUUGAAAAGUGAGCGGAUGAACUGAGGGUAGCGGAGAAAUUCCAAUCGAACCUGGAGAUAGCUGGUUCUCUCCGAAAUAGCUUUAGGGCUAGCCUCAAGUGAUGAUUAUUGGAGGUAGAGCACUGUUUGGACGAGGGGCCCCUCUCGGGUUACCGAAUUCAGACAAACUCCGAAUGCCAAUUAAUUUAACUUGGGAGUCAGAACAUGGGUGAUAAGGUCCGUGUUCGAAAGGGAAACAGCCCAGACCACCAGCUAAGGUCCCAAAAUAUAUGUUAAGUGGAAAAGGAUGUGGCGUUGCCCAGACAACUAGGAUGUUGGCUUAGAAGCAGCCAUCAUUUAAAGAGUGCGUAAUAGCUCACUAGUCGAGUGACACUGCGCCGAAAAUGUACCGGGGCUAAACAUAUUACCGAAGCUGUGGAUUGUCCUUUGGACAAUGGUAGGAGAGCGUUCUAAGGGCGUUGAAGCAUGAUCGUAAGGACAUGUGGAGCGCUUAGAAGUGAGAAUGCCGGUGUGAGUAGCGAAAGACGGGUGAGAAUCCCGUCCACCGAUUGACUAAGGUUUCCAGAGGAAGGCUCGUCCGCUCUGGGUUAGUCGGGUCCUAAGCUGAGGCCGACAGGCGUAGGCGAUGGAUAACAGGUUGAUAUUCCUGUACCACCUAUAAUCGUUUUAAUCGAUGGGGGGACGCAGUAGGAUAGGCGAAGCGUGCGAUUGGAUUGCACGUCUAAGCAGUAAGGCUGAGUAUUAGGCAAAUCCGGUACUCAUUAAGGCUGAGCUGUGAUGGGGAGAAGACAUUGUGUCUUCGAGUCGUUGAUUUCACACUGCCGAGAAAAGCCUCUAGAUAGAAAAUAGGUGCCCGUACCGCAAACCGACACAGGUAGUCAAGAUGAGAAUUCUAAGGUGAGCGAGCGAACUCUCGUUAAGGAACUCGGCAAAAUGACCCCGUAACUUCGGGAGAAGGGGUGCUCUUUAGGGUUAACGCCCAGAAGAGCCGCAGUGAAUAGGCCCAAGCGACUGUUUAUCAAAAACACAGGUCUCUGCUAAACCGUAAGGUGAUGUAUAGGGGCUGACGCCUGCCCGGUGCUGGAAGGUUAAGAGGAGUGGUUAGCUUCUGCGAAGCUACGAAUCGAAGCCCCAGUAAACGGCGGCCGUAACUAUAACGGUCCUAAGGUAGCGAAAUUCCUUGUCGGGUAAGUUCCGACCCGCACGAAAGGCGUAACGAU